AUUGAACGCUGGCGGCAUGCCUUACACAUGCAAGUCGAACGGUAACAGGUCUUCGGAUGCUGACGAGUGGCGAACGGGUGAGUAAUACAUCGGAACGUGCCUAGUAGUGGGGGAUAACUACUCGAAAGAGUGGCUAAUACCGCAUGAGAUCUACGGAUGAAAGCAGGGGAUCGCAAUACCUUGUGCUACUAGAGCGGCCGAUGGCAGAUUAGGUAGUUGGUGGGAUAAAAGCUUACCAAGCCGACGAUCUGUAGCUGGUCUGAGAGGACGAUCAGUCACACUGGGACUGAGACACGGCCCAGACUCCUACGGGAGGCAGCAGUGGGGAAUUUUGGACAAUGGGCGAAAGCCUGAUCCAGCAAUGCCGCGUGCAGGAUGAAGGCCUUCGGGUUGUAAACUGCUUUUGUACGGAACGAAAAGCUCUGGGUUAAUACCCUGGGGUCAUGACGGUACCGUAAGAAUAAGCACCGGCUAACUACGUGCCAGCCGCCGCCGUAAUAC
rnacentral:rRNA from 1 species